CCUACGGGUGGCAGCAGUGGGGAAUAUUGCGCAAUGGGCGAAAGCCUGACGCAGCGACGCCGCGUGCGGGAUGAAGGUCUUCGGAUCGUAAACCUCUGUCAGCAGGGAAGAACAGUCACUGUGCUAAUCAGCAGUGAAUUGACGGUACCUGCAAAGGAAGCACCGGCUAACUCCGUGCCAGCAGCCGCGGUAAUACGGAGGGUGCGGGCGUUAAUCGGAAUUACUGGGCGUAAAGCGGUCGUAGGCGGUAUGUCAAGUCAAGGGUGAAAUCCCCGCGCUCAACGUGGGAACUGCCUUUGAAACUGGCAAACUGGAGUGUGUGAGAGGAUAGCGGAAUUCCAGGUGUAGGAGUGAAAUGCGUAGAUAUCUGGAAGAACACCAGUGGCGAAGGCGACUAUCUGGCACAUAACUGACGCUGAGGGGCGAAAGCGUGGGUAGCAAACAGGAUUAGAUACCCUUGUAGUC
rnacentral:rRNA from 1 species